rnacentral:lncRNA from 1 species
CUAGAACGGGCAGAACAGGCAACAGCUGGGGCUCUGGAUUGAAUCUCUUCCCAGAAGAGGCCUGAGGGACUGGCUGACUGAAAGGCAGCAGAAUACCCCCUUUUCACAGGCUUCCCUUCUGAGAAACCAAGGCUCGAAGAGAGAAGGCACCUGCCAAGGGCCCAGCCUGAAGCAGCAGCAGUGGGCAGACUCUCAAGCAGUCCCUGAAUGCAGGCAUCAAAGCAAGGAUCCGCAGAAAGAGAUCAAAGGCGGCUUUGCUCCUUCAGGGGGAGAAAACCUCAAUACAACCCAGUCAGGGUGGGGCGGCCCACUGGGGAGACACCAUGCACAUAUGGAAGAGAAUUCCCAGACUCAGACAGGCGGCACUCUGUCUAAGAAGCCCAUCAGGGACUGGGGACUUCAGACAAGCUACAGCCAGAGAGUUCCAGCAUCUCAGAGAAGUUCAGACCUCAAGGAGAGCUGAGUCCAGUGGCUGUUUAUUGAGCAACUACUAUGUCUCAUCAUGCUCUUAGAGUUGUCAUGAGAGGUUGGGGAGUCUGUCCUUAUUUUCCAGAGAAGAAAAUGAUAGGCAGAAGAAUGCUAGGGCAAGAAACCAGGUCUGGGGUCCCUACACUUCCAAGUCUGUCUUCACAGGCUCCCCUGUCUCUGUGGGAGUAGUGUGAGUGAUAUCUAGAGUUGGGGAGGGAACCAUUUGUCAAAAUCAGGCUGACAACAGGACUGUGCUUGCCUACGAGCCUGAGAAUUCUGAGUUCUGGUCCCAGGAUCUCUAUAUGAGGAAGGAGAGAACCAACUCAAAGCUGUGCUCCGAGCUCUCUGCAAAUGCCCUGGUGUGCACACGCACAUGCACGCAUGAGCACACACACACACACACACACACACACGCAUAGAUAUGAUUUUAAAAUGUUUUUAAGAGGAAGAUGCGUAGGGCGUGGCAUGUAGGAGCCUGGGGCCUUACUGGACUGGUGUGUUGGAAUGGGUAUGUUGGAGAAUGUCAGGCUGAGAGUCUCAGGCAUUGUUCACUAACUCAGCCAAAUGUGUCCUGAGUGUCCAUACACUGAAGACUGUCUCUGGCCUGCUAGGGCACCAUGAUGAUCACAAUAGACAUUAUCUGGCCUCUUCAAGUCUGGCUCUUGGGAGAAGGAUGGAGGAUAAGUGCAAAGAUAAACAAGGUUGGUUUUCAGGUCCAGUGAUGGAGAUCUCACAGCCAAGUACCACAACCCCAGUGGCUCCAAGCAGUAGCCAUGGAUGUCUUUGUUCUGAGGGCUGGCAGUGGCUAGGCCUGGCUUCCUCUAAGGGCCUAGGCAGUGUCUUUCCUAGCUCCCAUCACCCUCUGAUGGCCCUUAGUGCUCCCAGGCUGUGAUAAUGCAAGUCUUCUUUCCAGCUUGGCCUCUAAACAGCCCAGUCUCUGAGUCCCUUCCUUGUCUUAGAUUGACUUAUCCCAUUUUGCCGAAGAGAAAAAUUGG